UACGUAGGGUGCAAGCGUUGUCCGGAAUUAUUGGGCGUAAAGAGCUCGUAGGCGGUUUGUCGCGUCUGCUGUGAAAACUCGGGGCUUAACCCCGGGCCUGCAGUGGGUACGGGGCAGACUAGAGUGCGGUAGGGGAGACUGGAAUUCCUGGUGUAGCGGUGAAAUGCGCGAUAUCAGGAGGAACACCGGUGGCGAAGGCGGGUCUCUGGGCCGUAACUGACGCUGAGGAGCGAAAGCGUGGGGAGCGAACAGG
rnacentral:rRNA from 1 species